rnacentral:rRNA from 1 species
AGGACUGGGAUAACCUUGGGAAACUGAGGCUAAUACCGGAUAGGCAAUUUUUCCUGUAAUGGUUUUUUGUUUAAAUGUUUUUUCGCCUAAGGAUGGGUCUGCGGCCGAUUAGGUAGUUGGUUAGGUAAUGGCUUACCAAGCCGUUGAUCGGUACGGGUUGUGAGAGCAAGAGCCCGGAGAUGGAACCUGAGACAAGGUUCCAGGCCCUACGGGGUGCAGCAGGGCGCGAAGCCUCCGCAAUGUGAGAAAUCGCGACGGGGGGGAUCCCAAAGUGCCAUUCUUAACGGGAUGGCUUUUCAUUAGUGUAAAGAGCUUUUGGAAUAAGAGCUGGGCAAGACCGGUGCCAGCCGCCGCGGUAACACCGGCAGCUCUAGUGGUAGCAAUUUUUAUUGGGCCUAAAGCGUCCGUAGCCGGUUUAAUAAGUCUCUGGUGAAAUCCUGUAGCUUAACUGUGGGAAUUGCUGGAGAUACUAUUAGACUUGAGACCGGGAGAGGUUGGAGGUACUCCCAGGGUAGAGGUGAAAUUCUGUAAUC